GACGAACGCUGGCGGCGUGCCUAACACAUGCAAGUCGAGCGGGAACCUCAGGAGGGGUAACCCUUCUGAGGGGAGAGCGGCGAACGGGUGAGUAACACGUGGGCAACCUGCCCCGGACACCGGGAUAACCCAGGGAAACCUGAGCUAAUACCGGAUACUCCGGCGCGAUCGCAUGGUCGUGCCGGGAAAGCUCCGACGGUCCGGGAUGGGCCCGCGGCCUAUCAGCUUGUUGGUGGGGUAACGGCCCACCAAGGCGACGACGGGUAGCUGGUCUGAGAGGACGGCCAGCCACACUGGGACUGAGACACGGCCCAGACUCCUACGGGAGGGCAGCAGUGGGGGAUCUUGCGCUAAUGCGCGAAAGCGUGACGCAGCGACGCCGCGUGGGGAUGAAGGCCUUCGGUUGU
rnacentral:rRNA from 1 species